UACGUAGGGGGCAAGCGUUGUCCGGAUUUAUUGGGCGUAAAGAGCGUGUAGGCGGCCAUACAGGUCCGUUGUGAAAACUGGAGGCUUAACCUCCAGACGUCGAUGGAAACCGUAUGGCUAGAGUCCGGAAGAGGAGAGUGGAAUUCCUGGUGUAGCGGUGAAAUGCGCAGAUAUCAGGAAGAACACCCGUGGCGAAGGCGGCAUCCUGGACCGGCAUUGACGCUGAGGCGCGAAAGCUAGGGUAGCAAACGGG
rnacentral:rRNA from 1 species